rnacentral:rRNA from 1 species
GACGAACGCUGGCGGCGUGCUUAACACAUGCAAGUCGAACGGUGAAGCCCUUUCGGGGGUGGAUCAGUGGCGAACGGGUGAGUAACACGUGAGUAAUCUGCCCUUGACUCUGGGAUAACCUCGGGAAACCGUGGCUAAUACCGGAUAUGACCCAUGGAGGAGUCUCCUGUGGGUGGAAAGAUUUAUUGGUCAGGGAUGAGCUCGCGGCCUAUCAGCUUGUUGGUGGGGUAAUGGCCUACCAAGGCGACGACGGGUAGCCGGCCUGAGAGGGCGACCGGCCACACUGGGACUGAGACACGGCCCAGACUCCUACGGGAGGCAGCAGUGGGGAAUAUUGCGCAAUGGGCGGAAGCCUGACGCAGCGACGCCGCGUGAGGGAUGAAGGCCUUCGGGUCGUAAACCUCUUUCAGCAGGGAAGAAGCGAGAGUGACGGUACCUGCAGAAGAAGCACCGGCUAACUACGUGCCAGCCGCCGCCGUAA